CAGCCCUAAACGAUGCGCGUUAGGUGUAUCGGUGACCACGAGUCACCGAGGUGCCGAAGGGAAACCGUGAAACGUGCCGCCUGGGAAGUACGGUCGCAAGGCUGAAACUUAAAGGAAUUGGCGGGGGAGCACCACAAGAGGUGGAGGCUGCGGUUCAAUUGGACUCAACGCCGGGAAGCUCACCGGAUAAGACAGCGGAAUGAUUGCCGGGCUGAAGACUCUGCAUGACUAGCUGAGAGGUGGUGCAUGGCGUAACGUCU
rnacentral:rRNA from 1 species